GAUGAACGCUAGCGGCAGGCCUAAUACAUGCAAGUCGAACGGUGUCUUCAGACAUAGUGGCGCACGGGUGCGUAACACGUAUGCAACCUACCUUACAUUGGGGGAUAGCCUUUCGAAAGGGAGAUUAAUACCGCAUAAGACAGUAGCUGGGCAUCCAGCAGCUGUUAAAGAUUUAUCGAUGUAAGCUGGGCAUGCGUCCAAUUAGCUAGUUGGUGAGGUAACGGCUCACCAAAGCAAUGAUUGGUAGGGGAACUGAGAGGUCAAUCCCCCACACUGGCACUGAGAUACGGGCCAGACUCCUACGGGAGGCAGCAGUAGGGAAUAUUGGGCAAUGGACGCAAGUCUGACCCAGCCAUGCCGCGUGCAGGAUGAAGGCGUUAUGCGUUGUAAACUGCUUUUAUACAGGAAGAAACGACUCUUGCGAGAGGCAUUGACGGUACUGUAUGAAUAAGCACCGGCUAACUCCGUGCCAGCCGCCGCAGUAAAAC
rnacentral:rRNA from 1 species